CUUGGCUCUCUCUCCCCAGUCCCCACCACACUCGCGUCUCACCGCCGCCGGCAGGUUGCGCCGUCCAGUGGCAGUCCCCCCGUCUCCGCGCCGCCACCCAACCCGUGCGCUCGCCACUGCCAGCCGCUUGUCCUCCUCCGCGACCGACGUUGCGCGCUUCACUUCUUCGUUAGCCGGUGCCGGGCGGCGCUCCUGCCCCAACGGCGAGGUGCGAUCCAGUCGGGAGGAGGAAUUUGCCUUUCCAUCGCCGUCUCCCCAUUCCCCAAAUUACACCCGCCGACCAAUCUCCACUGAUGAGCGGCGAAGCAGGCAUGUCCCAUCAAUCAGACACUUCAUCCUGCUCUGAUGAUUCCGAAGAUAGAAACACCGUCAACCCAACAGGCAUAUACACUAUGGAAGAAUUCAUUGCUGAGCACUGUGUCCUGCACAAUUUACUUGAGCGGAUCAGUGUGAAGAUUCAUGCCAAAAUCAAAGCACGGCAAGCUGGUAAAACUGGUACGUCUCGCCGCCGGACUGGUUUUCAUAGGAGAGUCAUAGAGAGAGAUCACGGAGAGGGUCAUCAACGGCUUGUCACUGAUUUCUUUUCUGAAGAUCCAGUCUAUGAUGAAAAAGUAUUCAGAACAAGGUACCGGAUGAGUAGACCCCUCUUUCUACGUAUUGUCCGUGCGCUAGGUGAGUGGUCCCCCUAUUUCACCAAGAGGACUGAUAUCUGCUAUCGCCAAGGGCUGUCACCUCUGCAGAAAUGCACAGCGGCAAUUCGUAUGUUAGCUCGUGGCUGUGCGGCAGAUGCUGUGGACGAAUAUGUGCAGAUUGGUACAAGCACAGCAAUGGAGUGUUUGGAGCGGUUUGCAGAAGGGGUGAUUGACAAGUUUGGCGGAGAAUACUUGCGAGGCCCUACUAGUGCUGAUAUGCAGCAUCUACUACAAAUUGGUGAAGGCCUUGGCUUCCCUGGCAUGUUGGGAAGCAUUGGUUGCAUGCACUGGGAGUGGGAAAAUUGCCCUCCUAAAUGGAUGCGUCGUCUUAAUCAUAGUGAUCACGGCUUUGCCACAUUUAUUCUUGAAGCUGUUGCUUCACAAGAUCUCUGGAUAUGGCACGCUUCUUUCAAUGCUGUUGGCUCCAUCAAUGACAUCAGUGUUCUCAAUCAAUCACCGUCGUUUACUCAAGUCUUGAAAGGACAAGCUCCCCCGGUGCAAUUUUCCAUCAAUAAGAGUCAAUACGAUAUGGGAUACUACCUUGCUGAUGAAAUUUACCCAGAAUGCACUGUAUUUGUUAAGACAAUACCCUUCCCUCGAACUGAAAAGGAACGAUUGUUUGCUAAACAUCAAGAAGAGGCAAGGAAGGAUGUUCAGCGCGCAUUUGGAGUCCUGCAAUCUCGUUUCCCCAUUGUUCGUGGUCCAAUUCGCUUUUUCCAACGAGCAACUCUUGGGAAAAUCCUGCAAGCUUGUGUCAUACUCCAUAACAUGGCAGUUCAGGAUGAGAAAGACAUGGCAAGUACUUGUUCUGAACCAAAUGAAGCUUCAGGUAUAACGGCUGUUUUACCAUCAAACAUCAAAACUGGGCCUGCCAAUUGCUUAACUAAUGUACUCCAGAGAAGUGCCCCUGUUUGUAGUCAAGCAACACAUGGCCAGCUAAGAAGGGAUUUAACUGAGCAUAUCUGGCAGCAGUUUGGGCCAUUUGGCGACAAGUAAAAAAGAUCUAGUAUUAGUGUACGAAGUCAUGUCGCUUGGUUGGUCACUGGCUAUAAUUAGCUGUAUAAACGGCUUUUUUUUUGGGGGAAAAAAGGCUGAUUGGCAGGAUACAAUCGUAGAGAGACUUUUGAAUUGUGAGCGAAGACUGCGCUUGCAGUCUUGUGAAGGCAUUUGCGCAGAGGAACAUCGACGUCGCUAAAGUAUGCGAGCUAGGUAUGACCAAAGAAGCGUGCCAGGCCAAGGCGGAUGCCGAGAAGGCAAAGGCGGAUGCCGAGAAGCAGCAGGCUCAGCAGCGGGAGGCCGAGCUGAGCAAGCUCGGUGCCUGCGACAGGUUGUUCGAGCGGCUGGCCGCCGGCGAGCGGACCGAGAUCAGCCGGGACAAAGACCUCAUGGCGUGCCGUCAGGAGAUGAAGACGUGCCCGGCCGACUGCCAGGGGAAGCAGUGAUGACCAGCUCCGCGCGCCGCCGAAGAACCGGGUCAUCUGUUUCAUUUCCCGCUAAUUAAUAAUUUCACUGCAGGCUCAAGCGGCAUCGUCGCACUGGCUUUACUUCCUUCCUUCCUUUUUUUUUUAUAAUUGCUUCCUUGUUUAAUUUAUUGCGGUUUCAAAUGGUGUGGUGUUUUUUUGUUGGACUAUUCAGCUUGUUGGUUUGAGUUGA